rnacentral:rRNA from 1 species
UCUGGGUGGCGAGUGGCGGACGGGUGAGGAAUACAUCGGAAUCUACUUUUUCGUGGGGGAUAACGUAGGGAAACUUACGCUAAUACCGCAUACGACCUACGGGUGAAAGCAGGGGAUCUUCGGACCUUGCGCGAUUGAAUGAGCCGAUGUCGGAUUAGCUAGUUGGCGGGGUAAAGGCCCACCAAGGCGACGAUCCGUAGCUGGUCUGAGAGGAUGAUCAGCCACACUGGAACUGAGACACGGUCCAGACUCCUACGGGAGGCAGCAGUGGGGAAUAUUGGACAAUGGGCGCAAGCCUGAUCCAGCCAUACCGCGUGGGUGAAGAAGGCCUUCGGGUUGUAAAGCCCUUUUGUUGGGAAAGAAAUCCAGCUGGCUAAUACCCGGUUGGGAUGACGGUACCCAAAGAAUAAGCACCGGCUAACUUCGUGCCAGCAGCCGCGGUAAUACGAAGGGUGCAAGCGUUACUCGGAAUUACUGGGCGUAAAGCGUGCGUAGGUGGUUGUUUAAGUCUGUUGUGAAAGCCCUGGGCUCAACCUGGGAACUGCAGUGG